rnacentral:rRNA from 1 species
GUGCCAGCAGCCGCGGUAAUACGGAGGGUGCAAGCGUUAUCCGGAUUCACUGGGUUUAAAGGGUGCGUAGGUGGGCUGGUAAGUCAGUGGUGAAAUCUCCGGGCUUAACUCGGAAACUGCCAUUGAUACUAUCAGUCUUGAAUACCGUGGAGGUCAGUAGAAUAUGUCAUGUAGCGGUGAAAUGCUUAGAUAUGACAUAGAAUACCAAUUGCGAAGGCAGCUGGCUACACGAAUAUUGACACUCAGGCACGAAAGCGUGGGGAUCAAACAGGAUUAGAUACCCUGGUAGUCC